GACGAACGCUGGCGGCGUGCUUAACACAUGCAAGUCGAACGGUAAGGCCCUUCGGGGUACACGAGUGGCGAACGGGUGAGUAACACGUGGGUGAUCUGCCCUGCACUUCGGGAUAAGCCUGGGAAACUGGGUCUAAUACCGGAUAGGACCACUGCCUGCAUGGGUGGUGGUGGAAAGCUUUUGCGGUGUGGGAUGGGCCCGCGGCCUAUCAGCUUGUUGGUGGGGUGAUGGCCUACCAAGGCGACGACGGGUAGCCGGCCUGAGAGGGUGACCGGCCACACUGGGACGUAGAUACGGCCCACACUCCUACGGGAGGCAGCAGUGGGGAAUAUGGCACAAUGGGCGCAAGCCUGAUGCAGCGACGCCGCGUGAGGGAUGGCGGCCUUCGGGUUGUAAACCUCUUUCAGCACCGACGAAGCGCAAGUGACGGUAGGUGCAGAAGAAGGACCGGCCAACUACGUGCCAGCCGCCGCCGUAA
rnacentral:rRNA from 1 species